rnacentral:rRNA from 1 species
AUGUAUAAGUUUAAUCGUUUAUCGAGAAACCGCGAACGGCUCAUUACAAUGGCCAUUAUUUACUUGAUCUUGAUUGUCUAAAUGGAUAACUGUGGAAAAGCUAGAGCUAAUACAUGCACUAAAGCUUUGUCCUUACGGAAAAGCGCAUUUAUUAGAACAAAACCACGCGGCUUCGGCUGCUUCUUGUUGACUUAGAAUAACUUAGCUGACCGCAUGGCCUUGUGCCGGCGGCGUGUCUUUCAAGCGUCCACUUUAUCAACUUGACGGGAGCAUAAUCGACUCCCGUGGUGGUGACGGAUAACGGAGGAUCAGGGUUCGACUCCGGAGAAGGGGCCUGAGAAAUGGCCACUACGUCUAAGGAUGGCAGCAGGCGCGCAAAUUACCCACUCUCGGCUCGAGGAGGUAGUGACGAGAAAUAACGAGACUGUUCUCUUUGAGGCCGGUCAUCGGAAUGGGUACAAUUUAAACCCUUUAACGAGUAUCAAGCAGAGGGCAAGUCUGGUGCCAGCAGCCGCGGUAAUUCCAGCUCUGCAAAUACAUAGAAUUAUUGCUGCGGUUAGAAAGCUCAUAGUUGGAUUCGUAUCGAUACCUUGGAACCCUCCGGGUGUUUCUGGGUGUUAUCGAUUUAUCGUAAUGUUCGGUUUUGAGUCCUUAACAGGAUUCUUAACAGGCAUUGCAAGUUUACUUUGAACAAAUCAGAGUGCUUCAAACAGGCGUUUUCGCUUGAAUGAUCGUGCAUGGAAUAAUAGAAAAUGAUUUCGGUUCAGUUUUAUUGGUUUUACGGACUGAGAUAAUGGUUAACAGAGACAAACGGGGGCAUUUGUAUGGUCCCGUGAGAGGUGAAAUUCUUGGACCGUGGCCAGACAAACUACAGCGAAAGCAUUUGCCAAGAAUGUUUUUAUUAAUCAAGAACGAAAGUCAGAGGUUCGAAGGCGAUCAGAUACCGCCCUAGUUCUGACCGUAAACGAUGCCAACUAGCGAUCCGCCGAUGGAAAUUAUAUUGCCUUGGUGGGGAGCUUCCCGGAAACGAAAGUCUUCCGGUUCCGGGGGAAGUAUGGUUGCAAAGCUGAAACUUAAAGGAAUUGACGGAAGGGCACCACCAGGAGUGGAGCCUGCGGCUUAAUUUGACUCAACACGGGGAAACUCACCCGGCCCGGACACUGUGAGGAUUGACAGAUUGAUAGCUUUUUCAUGAUUCAGUGGAUGGUGGUGCAUGGCCGCUCUUAGUUCGUGGAGUGAUUUGUCUGGUUUAUUCCGAUAACGAGCGAGACUCUAACCUACUAAAUAGUUGGUACAUACUCUUAGUGUAUACAGCUUCUUAGAGGGAUUUGCGGCGUUCAGCCGAAAGAAAUUGAGCAAUAACAGGUCUGUGAUGCCCUUAGAUGUCCGGGGCUGCACGCGCGCUACACUGGCAAAAUCAACGUGCUUGUCCUACCCUGAAAGGGGCGGGUAAACCAUUGAAAAUUUGCCGUGAUUGGGAUCGGAAAUUGCAAUUAUUUUCCGUGAACGAGGAAUUCCAAGUAAGUGCGAGUCAUCAGCUCGCGUUGAUUACGUCCCUGCCCUUUGUACACACCGCCCGUCGCUGCCCGGGACUGAGCCAUUUCGAGAAAUUUGGGGACCGUUGAUUUAAUUUUUCUAAAUUACUUUGAUGGAAACCAAUUUAAUCGCAGUGGCUUGAACCGGGC